UCUAUGAGAGUCCCACUUUAGAAGAAGAUAAUGUAAAAGAGCUCUCUUUGAGAAAGACUGUUUAUGCGGUCAUCUAUCCGCCUUGACUCCUCAUGUGCAUUCUUUCCUAUCUCUUUUCUCUCUUAUUUUAUACUUAUGUUCUUUCAUUGAGGAUAAUGUAUGUCUUAAGUGUGGGGGAGGGAAUCGUUUACUUGUGUGUUUUCUUGUUUUUCAUUUACUUACUUGUUUUUUUUAAAUGACAUGUUUUUUCUAUGGUUUUCGAGUUGUAAUUGUG
rnacentral:lncRNA from 1 species